rnacentral:lncRNA from 1 species
CUAGUGAACAGCACGGUUUCUUCCCUCUGGCCAGGAUUAGGUCACAGAGUGGCCCAGCAGCGUGGGUUUGAACAUUUCCUCCUGUUCUAACAGCCCUCGUAAAAAAAUAGGUUGAUUUGUGUUGGUGUUUGCUGAUAUGUGAUACUGUGUUUUCCAGGUCCCAACCAGAUGAACCAGAUACUCUUCGAUCUCCAAGCCCUCUAAUGAUCUUGCAGUGAUACUUGAAUGAGUCGCUGCCGAAUCCAGCUGGCCGGCAGCCCGAGAGACUGCAGUCCUCAGCGUAGCCACAGCACAGGGCAAACCUCGGAACCUCGGCAGAAACGAGGAGCUUUCUCUUCGGAUGUUCUCACCAAAAGGCUAUUUUCAAAGAAAUGUGUAAUUCUGGAAUAAAACCCAUGAUUGGAAAAGAGAAGGGAUCGGCAGAGCUAGACAGCAAGGGUAAGGGGCAGAUCUGGCCCUGAUUUCAUUUUGGGUCUAUUCCUGCUCUUGUAUCACUCAGUGAUGUUUGGCAUCCUGGUGCUUUCAGGUUGUUAUUCCAGGAGAAAAUCAGCUGGGCUGACUGACAGUCCCCUAGGACGCUGGAUUCAUUGUCCUGGGGAUAACAUUUGCUACAGAAGCUGAGGAUUUGAUGUAGAGAGUAUAUUUGUGUUUCGCCCACACAACAUUACGUACAUGCGUAAUUCCCAUUGAUGUUGCUGACGCGUGUUUGUGGAAAAGCAAAGUGAAGCCCCAAGUUAUUUCACUUUGCACUAUCAACAGUUCAGUCUGAACUAAUAGCUGUAUUUAUGAGGCCCGGUCAACUCUGAUUGAAGUCUUUCCACAGACAUUACAGGGCUUUGGGCUGGGCCCUAACAAAGACCAGA